rnacentral:tRNA from 1 species
UGGGGGUUGGUCUAAUGGUAGGACGACUGACUCUGAAUCAGUUAGUAGGGGUUCGAAUCCCUUACCCCCAGCAA